rfam:Triticum aestivum genome assembly, contig: Triticum_aestivum_CS42_TGACv1_scaffold_040586_1BL
UCGAGCCGUAUGAAGGGAAACUCCCACGUACAGUUUGUUUUGGGGGGGAAGGAGCCCGACAGGGUCCCCCCACUGACUUGGCCCGGGCCUAAGUGAAAGUGCAAAAGUGAAGUGGUGGGCCUGCCCAUCCCAAC